GCUGUGAUUUUGAUCCGAGGUUGUUUAUUUUGAUUGUAAUAACCAGUUUUAAAAGAGUUUAAAAUGCCUAAUUAUAAAAGAAAACGCUGAAUUAAUAGGAAAAAAGAAGAAAAGCAUCAUUUUAGAAAUAUAUUACGACCCUAUCGGUCUAUAAUUGAAAAGAAAGUUUUAAGUACGAACACAAUAAAGGAGAAAAUGAAGGCUUGGAGCGAAAUAACAGAGAAAUAAACCACAUUUUAACAAAAAGCAAGUUAAGUUAAUUUAGUUUUGGAGAAGCCUUAUAUGCAGAUAUGCAUAGUUUUCAAGCUCUGGAAAAUGAUCACUUUCACAAAGAACACUAAUAUAAUAUAAAUUCAAAAUUACAGAGAGACAUUCUAGUGAAGACUAUAGUAAUCACUUACAAAUCAGUCGAAUAAUGUAAUACAUUUUUUUUAAAAUUAAAUAGUUAAUAAUAA